CUUGGUCAUUUAGAGGAAGUAAAAGUCGUAACAAGGUUUCCGUAGGUGAACCUGCGGAAGGAUCAUUAACGAAUUGUAAUGGGGGUUGAUGCUGGCAAGCUAUCAUUUUAGCCGCAUGUUGCUCACCUUCAACAAUCAUUAUCCCAAACACCUGUGCACCUUUUGAGGGGUAGUUUCUAAGUAGAUUUUGCUGCCUGUUGGUAGUGGGAUUAUCUUGGAUCCUUUCCCUUCUUUCACACAUACACUAUUUACAAUAUUGAACGUGAUUGUGCCGUAAGGCCUUAAUAAAAAUACAACUUUUAACAACGGAUCUCUUGGCUCUCGCAUCGAUGAAGAACGCAGCGAAAUGCGAUAAGUAAUGUGAAUUGCAGAAUUCAGUGAAUCAUCGAAUCUUUGAACGCACCUUGCGCUCCUUGGUAUUCCGAGGAGCACGCCUGUUCGAGUGUCGUGAAGUUCUCAAGCUAGGUGCUUUUUUGCUUGACAAAAAUGCGGUUAGCUUGGUAUUGGGCUUUGCCGUGUCCUUCAUUUGGAACGGCUGGUCUUAAAGACAUUAGCUUGACCCUUCACGUGGUAUUGGUUCUACUCAGCGUGAUAAUAAUCUAACCGCUGAGGACAUCUUUUGGGGUGGCCAAUUCUUGUUGGGGUUGCUUUCUAAUCUGGUUUGCAAGAUUCUUGAAUCCUGCUCCAUUUUUCAAUUUUGACCUCGAAUCAGGUGGGACUACCAGCUGAACUUAAGCAUAUCAAUAAGCGGAGGAAAAGAAACUAACAAGGAUUCCCCUAGUAACGGCGAGUGAAGCGGGAAGAGCUCAAAUUUAAAAUCUGGCAGUCUUUGAUUGUCCGAAUUGUAAUCUAGAGAAGCGUUUUCCGCGCUGGACUGUGUACAAGUUUCCUGGAUACGGAACAUCAUAGAGGGUGAGAAUCCCGUCCUUGACACAGACUCCCAGUGCUUUGUGAUGCGCUCUCGACGAGUCGAGUUGUUUGGGAUUGCAGCUCAAAAUGGGAGGUAAAUUCCUUCUAAAGCUAAAUAUUGGCGAGAGACCGAUAGCGAACAAGUACCGUGAGGGAAAGAUGAAAAGCAGUUUGGAAAGAGAGUUAAACAGUACGUGAAAUUGUUAAAAGGGAAACGCUUGAAGUCAGUCAUGUCUGCUUGGACUCAACCUAACUUUGGUGUGGUUCAUUUCCUUGCAGACGGGCCAGUGUUCAUGUUGUUCGUCGGAAAAGGAGUAAAAGAAUGUGACUCCUCCGGGAGUGUUAUAGCUUUGACUCGUAUGCGGGGAACGAUAUGGAGUGGUACAGCAUGCUUCGGUGGUGCUUGUGCUGGCAUAAUGGCUUUAAACGACCCGUCUUGAAACACGGACC
rnacentral:rRNA from 1 species